rnacentral:rRNA from 1 species
CCUACGGGGGGCAGCAGUGGGGAAUCUUGCACAAUGGGGGAAACCCUGAUGCAGCGACGCCGCGUGAGCGAUGAAGCCCUUCGGGGUGUAAAGCUCUUUCGGCAGGAACGAUAAUGACGGUACCUGCAGAAGAAGCUGCGGCUAACUACGUGCCAGCAGCCGCGGUAAUACGUAGGCAGCGAGCGUUGUUCGGAGUUACUGGGCGUAAAGAGUGUGUAGGCGGUUUGCCAAGUUCGGUGUGAAAUCUCCCGGCUUAACUGGGAGGGUGCGCCGAAAACUGGCAGGCUAGAGUGCGGGAGAGGAAAGCGGAAUUCCUGGUGUAGCGGUGAAAUGCGUAGAUAUCAGGAGGAACACCUGCGGUGUAGACGGCUUUCUGGACCGCCACUGACGCUGAGACACGAAAGCGUGGGUAGCAAACAGGAUUAGAUACCCCAGUAGUC